UGGGGAAUUUUGGACAAUGGGGGCAACCCUGAUCCAGCAAUGCCGCGUGAGUGAAGAAGGCCUUCGGGUUGUAAAGCUCUUUUGUCCGGGAAGAAAUCCCAUCCUUGAAUACGGGGUGGGGAUGACGGUACUGGAAGAAUAAGCACCGGCUAACUACGUGCCAGCAGCCGCGGUAAUACGUAGGGUGCAAGCGUUAAUCGGAAUUACUGGGCGUAAAGCGUGCGCAGGCGGUUGUGCAAGACCGAUGUGAAAUCCCCGGGCUUAACCUGGGAACUGCAUUGGUGACUGCACGGCUAGAGUGUGUCAGAGGGGGGUAGAAUUCCACGUGUAGCAGUGAAAUGCGUAGAGAUGUGGAGGAAUACCGAUGGCGAAGGCAGCCCCCUGGGAUAACACUGACGCUCAUGCACGAAAGCGUGGGGAGCAAACAGGAUUAGAUACCCUGGUAGUCCACGCCCUAAACGAUGUCAACUAGUUGUCGGGGAUUAAUUUCCUUGGUAACGCAGCUAACGCGUGAAGUUGACCGCCUGGGGAGUACGGUCGC
rnacentral:rRNA from 1 species